AACGAACGCUGGCGGCGUGCCUAAUACAUGCAAGUCGAACGAGAAAGUCCGGCUUCGGUUGGACAAGUAAAGUGGCGAACGGGUGAGUAACACGUGGGCAAUUUUCCCUUGAAUCUGGGAUAACCCUUCGAAAGGAGGCCUAAUACCAGAUGACACUGUCGAAUGGCAUCUUUUGACAGUCAAAGGCGGAGCAAUCUGUCGUUCAAGGAUGAGCCCGCGGCCCAUUAGCUAGUUGGCGGGGUAAUGGCCCACCAAGGCAACGAUGGGUAGCCGACCUGAGAGGGUGACCGGCCACACUGGGACUGAGAUACGGCCCAGACUCCUACGGGAGGCAGCAGUAGGGAAUAUUGCGCAAUGGACGAAAGUCUGACGCAGCAACGCC
rnacentral:rRNA from 1 species